UACGUAGGCAGCAAGCGUUGUUCGGAGUUACUGGGCGUAAAGGGUGUGUAGGCGGUUGGAUAAGUGUGGUGUGAAAUCUCCCGGCUCAACUGGGAGGGUGCGCCGGAUACUGAGGGGCUAGAGUGUGGGAGAGGAAAGUGGAAUUCCUGGUGUAGCGGUGAAAUGCGUAGAUAUCAGGAGGAACACCGGUGGUGUAAACGGCUUUCUGGACCAUAACUGACGCUGAGGCACGAAAGCGUGGGUAGCAAACAGG
rnacentral:rRNA from 1 species